rnacentral:rRNA from 1 species
ACGGGUGAGUAAUGCCUAGGAAUCUGCCUGGUAGUGGGGGAUAACGUUCGGAAACGGACGCUAAUACCGCAUACGUCCUACGGGAGAAAGCAGGGGACCUUCGGGCCUUGCGCUAUCAGAUGAGCCUAGGUCGGAUUAGCUAGUUGGUGAGGUAAUGGCUCACCAAGGCAACGAUCCGUAACUGGUCUGAGAGGAUGAUCAGUCACACUGGAACUGAGACACGGUCCAGACUCCUACGGGAGGCAGCAGUGGGGAAUAUUGGACAAUGGGCGAAAGCCUGAUCCAGCCAUGCCGCGUGUGUGAAGAAGGUCUUCGGAUUGUAAAGCACUUUAAGUUGGGAGGAAGGGCAUUAACCUAAUACGUUAGUGUUUUGACGUUACCGACAGAAUAAGCACCGGCUAACUCUGUGCCAGCAGCCGCGGUAAUACAGAGGGUGCAAGCGUUAAUCGGAAUUACUGGGCGUAAAGCGCGCGUAGGUGGUUUGUUAAGUUGGAUGUGAAAUCCCCGGGCUCAACCUGGGAACUGCAUUCAAAACUGACUGACUAGAGUAUGGUAGAGGGUGGUGGAAUUUCCUGUGUAGCGGUG